GAGACAGCAGUAGCCGCGGGAAUACGGAGGGUGCAAGCGUUAUCCGGAUUCACUGGGUUUAAAGGGUGCGUAGGCGGAUCUGUAAGUCAGUGGUGAAAUCUCCAGGCUUAACCUGGAAACUGCCGUUGAUACUAUAGGUCUUGAAUUUUGUGGAGGUUAGCGGAAUAUGUCAUGUAGCGGUGAAAUGCAUAGAUAUGACAUAGAACACCAAUUGCGAAGGCAGCUGGCUACACAACUAUUGACGCUGAGGCACGAAAGCGUGGGGAUCAAACAGGAUUAGAUACCCGGGUAGUCCCUGUCUCUUAUAC
rnacentral:rRNA from 1 species